rnacentral:rRNA from 1 species
UACGAAGGGGGCUAGCGUUGCUCGGAAUUACUGGGCGUAAAGCGUGCGCAGGCGGCUUUGCAAGACAGAUGUGAAAUCCCCGGGCUUAACCUGGGAACUGCAUUUGUGACUGCAUGGCUGGAGUCCGGAAGAGGCGAGUGGAAUUCCCGGUGUAGCGGUGAAAUGCGCAGAUAUCGGGAGGAACACCAAUGGCGAAGGCAGCUCGCUGGGACGGUACUGACGCUGAGACGCGAAAGCGUGGGGAGCAAACAGG